ACCCUAGGUAUAGGUAGCGUGGCAUCGCGUGCAACCGCAUUUGCAUCUGAUGCAACCGAAUUAUGAAAUUGUAGAACUAGACCCAGUCGGAAAUCGGUGGCAGUCGUCGCUGAGCGAUCCGAGCGGGAGAGGUGCCAGGCAACCAACAGCACCCGAGAGCAGCCGGAAGCGGAAGCAGGCUUCCCGCCACCCGGCCCCCUCGGCGCGCGUUGCGCAUACGCCCCUUCGGUCGCAGCCGCAACCCACAACUAAGCUAUUGUAGUCCGACGGCGCUCGGAAUUAGCUGUUUUGGGAACCGUAGAGAGAGGCAGGAGGCGGUUUAGCAGGGCGGCACUCAUCGACCCACGCAGGAGAUUAUACAAAUUAUACAAGCAUUAUACAUAAGUGUGCAUAAUACCCACAUAUAUACGUUGGCGAGGCAGGCUGCGGACGAGGCGCCGCCUCCGACCACGACUCGAACCAACCCAAAAGGUCGGGAGGUCUCCAUUCCCAGCCGCGCAGCCUGGCCAAGACUCUUCCAAUCCCCCGAGUUUCCCCCCGAACAGUAAUUAGCGAAGUAACCACGUUAUUCUAUAGAUGUGUAUGUGUCUAUAAGUAUACUUUGUAGACGUUCACUCGCCAGACGCCGCCAGCUCGAGCAACUAAGCCCACAGCCAACCCAGGAGCCAUCGGCAUCGGUUCCGGCCAGAAACCAAACGAUCUGUGCGGCAGGCUCAGAUUGAGACUCAGAUUCAGAUUCAGGUGCAGAUUCAGGUUCGGGUUCGAGCAACCCGAGCCAAGAGCAAGUGCCGCCACUCUCUUGGCCAAGUUACCAGCUGGCCAACCUAAGAGAGGAGCGGAGCUCGCUCCAAAUGGUUUCAAACCGCAGCCCAACAAGCGAGCAGUGUAUGAAUAAUUAUUACGAAAACGAUGAGCAAAUAGACGCUAAGCGAACAGCAAGAAGUCAUCAAGUGAAUCAGUCAACGGGCGAAAUACGAAGCUCGAAUGCCCUUUGCUAUUAUAAUUAUGGAUCAGUACUUAACAGAAAAACAUAUGAUGUAUAAUUCACCCUUAACACAUAACCCUUACUCAACUAUGUAUACUUUAAAGCUAUCACAGCCUUAAGCUUAAGAGUUUUCCUUCAUUUUGUGAAGUGUAUUUGAAUACACUGUUAUAGAAGCAACUGUUUUUAAAAAUUAUACAUGCAGAAGCAGAAUCUAAGUCAAAAUGGUAUUGAAAAAUGAUUAGAAUCAUUUUUAUAAUUUAAUGUUAUAAGUAAAAAUGUUAUGCGAAUGUUUUUGUGAGCUCCUCCGCCCCCAACUAUGAUUUAUUACUGCUUGCCAAUCGCAUGCCAAAAGAGACCUCAUCCAAGUUUUGAUUCGACGACUUCAACAGGGGUUGAUGGAGAGUGGAGGGCGGAAAACAUCUGCGAAGCGUCAGCGUUGAUAAAUGUAAAAAGCAAAUGAAGUUGGCAACAACAUCUGAGCGAAAGAAAUAAAACAAAAGGCCAUUGAGCGAUAAA